AGAAUUGACGGGACCCGACACAAGCGGUGGAUGAUGUGGUUAAUUCGAUGCAACGCGAAAACCUUACCACCUUGACAUGUACGGAAUCCUUUAGAGAUAGAGGAGUGACUCGAAAGAGAGCCGUAACACAGGUGCUGCAUGGCUGUCGUCAGCUCGUGUCGUGAGAUGUUGGGUUAAGUCCCGCAACGAGCGCAACCCUUGUCAUUAGUUGCUACAUUCAGUUGGGCACUCUAAUGAGACUGCCGGUGACAAACCGGAGGAAGGUGGGGAUGACGUCAAGUCCUCAUGGCCCUUAUAGGUGGGGCUACACACGUCAUACAAUGGAUGGUACAAAGGGUCGCCAACCCGCGAGGGGGAGCCAAUCCCAUAAAGCCAUUCGUAGUCCGGAUCGCAGUCUGCAACUCGACUGCGUGAAGUCGGAAUCGCUAGUAAUCGUGGAUCAGAAUGUCACGGUGAAUACGUUCCCGGGUCUU
rnacentral:rRNA from 1 species